rnacentral:sRNA from 1 species
UAAAUCUAAGACAAGUGAACGCUGCGCG